UGCGCAGGCGGAACGAUAAGUCAGUGGUGAAAUCCUACGGCUCAACCGUAGAACUGCCAUUGAUACUGUUGUUCUUGAGUACAGUUGUAGUGGGCGGAAUAUGUCAUGUAGCGGUGAAAUGCAUAGAUAUGACAUAGAACACCGAUCGCGAAGGCAGCUCACUAAGCUGAAACUGACGCUGAGGCACGAAAGCGUGGGGAGCAAACAGGAUUAGAUACCCUGGUAGUCC
rnacentral:rRNA from 1 species